rnacentral:rRNA from 1 species
UGAGGAAUAUUCCACAAUGGGCGAAAGCCUGAUGGAGCGACGCCGCGUGCGGGAUGAAGCCCUUUGGGGUGUAAACCGCUUUUUCGAGGGAUGAUACGGGGGCGUAAGCCCUCUAAGACAGUACCUUGAGAAUAAGCAUCGGCUAACUACGUGCCAGCAGCCGCGGUAAUACGUAGGAUGCAAGCGUUGUCCGGAUUUACUGGGCGUAAAGCGCGCGCAGGCGGUCUUGUAAGUAUGGCGUGAAAUCUCCCUGCUCAACGGGGAGGGUGCGUUGUAGACUGCAGGACUUGAGGUCGGUAGAGGGGGGUGGAAUUGCUGGUGUAGCGGUGAAAUGCGUAGAGAUCAGCAGGAACACCCGUGGCGAAGGCGGCCCCCUGGGCCGUACCUGACGCUGAGGCGCGAAGGCUAGGGGAGCGACCCG